rnacentral:rRNA from 1 species
UAAGACAGAGGUGCCGAGCGUUAGGCGGAAUCACUGGGCUUAAAGCGCGUGUAGGCGGACCGUUAAGUGCCUCGUGAAAUCCCCCGGCUCAACCGGGGAACGGCCGGGCAGACUGGCGGUCUUGAGCAACCUAGGGGUCAUCGGAACAGGCGGUGGAGCGGUGAAAUGCGUAGAUAUCGCCUGGAACGCCGACGGUGAAAACAGAUGACUGGGGGUUUGCUGACGCUGAGACGCGAAAGCCAGGGGAGCGAACGGGAUUAGAUACCCCGGUAGUCCUGGCCCUAAACGAUGUCCACUAGGUCGCGGCGGUUUUGACGCCGUCGCGGCCGAAGCAAAAGUGCUAAGUGGACCGCCUGGGAAGUACGGUCGCAAGGCUA